rnacentral:rRNA from 1 species
GACGAACGCUGGCGGCGUGCCUAAUACAUGCAAGUAGGACGCAGUUGCGAACGGGUGAGUAACGCGUAGGUAUCUGCCUAUUAGAGGGGGAUAACUAUUGGAAACGAUAGCUAAUACCGCAUACUAGUAAAUGGACCUGCGGUGUAUUAGGUAGUAGGUAGGGUAAUGGCCUACCUAGGCCACGAUACAUAGCCGACCUGGGAGGGUGAGCGGCAACACUGGUACUUGGAAACGGCCCAGACUCCUACGGGAGGCAGCAGUAAGGAAUCUGCGGCAAUGGGGGGAACCCUGACCGAGCAACGCCGCGUGAGUGAAGAAGGUUUUCGGAUCGUAAAGCUCUGUUGUUAAGGAAGCGGUACUUAACCAGAAAGGGACGGAUAACUACGUGCCAGCAGCCGCGGUAAUAC